rnacentral:rRNA from 1 species
AGUGAACGCUGGCGGUAGGCCUAACACAUGCAAGUCGAACGGCAGCACAGUAAGAGCUUGCUCUUACGGGUGGCGAGUGGCGGACGGGUGAGGAAUACAUCGGAAUCUACUUUUUCGUGGGGGAUAACGUAGGGAAACUUACGCUAAUACCGCAUACGACCUACGGGUGAAAGCAGGGGAUCUUCGGACCUUGCGCGAUUGAAUGCGCCGAUGUCGGAUUAGCUAGUUGGCGGGGUAAAGGCCCACCAAGGCGACGAUCCGUAGCUGGUCUGAGAGGAUGAUCAGCCACACGAGAACUUGGACACGGUCCAGACUCCUACGGGAGGCAGCAGUGGGGAAUAUUAGACAAUGGGCGCAAGCCUGAUCCAGCCAUACCGCGUGGGUGAAGAAGGCCUUCGGGUUGUAAAGCCCUUUUGUUGGUAAAGAAAAGCAGCAGGUUAAUACCCCGCUGUUCUGACGGUACCCAAAGAAUAAGCACCGGCUAACUUCGUG